rnacentral:rRNA from 1 species
AGUGAACGCUGGCGGUAGGCCUAACACAUGCAAGUCGAACGGCAGCACAGUAAGAGCUUGCUCUUACGGGUGGCGAGUGGCGGACGGGUGAGGCAUACAUCGGAAUCUACUUUUUCGUGGGGGAUAACGUAGGGAAACUUACGCUAAUACCGCAUACGACCUACGGGUGAAAUCAGGGGAUCUUCGGACCUUGCGCGAUUGAAUGAGCCGAUGUCGGAUUAGCUAGUUGGCGGGGUAAAGGCCCACCAAGGCGACGAUCCGUAGCUGGUCUGAGAGGAUGAUCAGCCACACUGGAACUGAGACACGGUCCAGACUCCUACGGGAGGCAGCAGUGGGGAAUAUUGGACAAUGGGCGCAAGCCUGAUCCAGCCAUACCGCGUGGGUGAAGAAGGCCUUCGGGUUGUAAAGCCCUUUUGUUGGGAAAGAAAAGCAGCAGGUUAAUACCCCGCUGUUCUGACGGUACCCAAAGAAUAAGCACCGGCUAACUUCGUG